UGGGGAAUAUUGCACAAUGGGCGCAAGCCUGAUGCAGCGACGCCGCGUGAGGGAUGACGGCCUUCGGGUUGUAAACCUCUUUCACCUGGGAAGAAGCGAAAGUGACGGUACCUGCAGAAGAAGCGCCGGCUAACUACGUGCCAGCAGCCGCGGUAAUACGUAGGGCGCGAGCGUUGUCCGGAAUUAUUGGGCGUAAAGAGCUUGUAAGCGGUUUGUUGCGUCUGCUGUGAAAGACCGGGGCUUAACCCCGGAAUUGGAUUGCGAACGGGCAGAAUAUAAUGCAGGAAGGGAAAAUGGAAUUCCUGGUGUAACGGUGAAAUGCCCAAAAAUCAAGAAGAACACCGAUGGCGAAAGCAGGUCUCUGGGCUGUUUCUGAAGCUUAAAAACGAAAGCAUGGGGAGCGAACAGGAUUAAAUACCCUGGUAGUCCAUGCCGGAAACGUUGAGCACUAAGUGUGGGGGACAUUCCACGUUUUCCGCGCCGUAGCUAACGCAUUAAGUGCCCCGGCUGGGGAGUACGGCCGCAAGGCUA
rnacentral:rRNA from 1 species